CUAACCGCGCGUCUCCUCAAAGUCGCCUGGGGCCACGCCAUUCGGCCCUGAUUGGUCAAGUGAUUGGGAAAGUGUCCUUUAGUCGCCAAUCACGUGCGAGCUAUACUCAUCAUCCCGCCCACCACUGGAAGUCUAUAAAAGCCACGAGGGUGAGGGUGGGUCAACGAGGAGGUGACGGAACACUCAAAUUGACUGAAAACAGAGAGUGGGACUGCAGGCUCGGUGCUCACUGGGCUGGAACCUUCUCACGCUUCAGGCCAAUGCUCUGAGACUGUGAGGAGGAGGAGGAGGAGGAGGAGGAAGAGGAAGAUGAAAUGAAGAUGCUCUCUAGUAAACCUCAGAGAAACCAGACAGUGAACGAUAAACUGUUUGCAGGGGGAAGAUGCCUGACAACGCCAACAUAUUGCAAGGAAACGACUUAUACAAUAUUGGUGCUUUUGUGUAUCGCUCUUCACUUGUUAAUUGCAGUGUGCACGCUUACUGUUGCUUGUGCAUGGUUUAAGAGUGUGUGCAUACUCAGCUCAGUGUUGUUGUCGGUGUGAUACCAGAUGGGGAUGACUCCAGGGCGAAAAGAGUACAUAUGGUGAUGUGUGGCAUGAUUCUGGCGUGAUGCUAAUAUGUCAUAGCUGUGAUUUAUGGAGUUCAUGGCCAGAGACACGGCCCGAGGAAAGAGUAUACAUCACAAGAGAGCAUUACAAUCUUUUUGAUAGAGCUCUUGUAUUGGAAGUUGUGUGAUGGGUGUAUGUUUUCCUUUAUCCUCCAAACAACAAAUGCACACAAUUGGAAGACAAACAAGAUUGGUUAGAACACUAAAUAAUAGAGGCCAGGUGUUAAUGUAAUUAAACGGAAAUAGAAUCAUUUAUUUUGUUCAGCAACUAACUGAGGCUGAUAUUUGAGGAUAUACAGUAAUGGAGAGAAAGGAUCAUGUCAAAGGGAGAUGAAAACAUGUGUGAGUGUGUGAUUAGACAAAAGACUGACAUAUUGAUUAAGACAGGAAGUGCAGAAUAAAUUAAUGGUGAAGCAUAUACAGUAGAAGUCUGAUAGAGUGAAACAGUGUAUGUUGUGGUCAAUGAAAGUGUGUGUUGGGUUCUGUGUUAUGUGUGUGGGUGAGUGAGAGUGCGAGUGUGAAAUAAAUCCAAUAAGCUUCUCCGUCAUGCUCUUGAGCAUUUUCUAGAUCCGCUGAAUGAAAUAAAUGAGAUUGUUUUGCUUUUGUCA